GGCGAGCGAACCUGGAUUAGCCCUUAAGCACUCGGUGAAGUAGGUGAACAAGCUGGAAAGCUUGGCGAUACAGGGUGAUAGCCCCGUAACCGACGCUUCAUCGAGCGUGAAAUCGAGUAGGGCGGGACACGUGAUAUCCUGUCUGAAUAUGGGGGGACCAUCCUCCAAGGCUAAAUACUCCUGACUGACCGAUAGUGAACCAGUACCGUGAGGGAAAGGCGAAAAGAACCCCUGUGAGGGGAGUGAAAUAGAACCUGAAACCGUGUACGUACAAGCAGUAGGAGCACCUUCGUGGUGUGACUGCGUACCUUUUGUAUAAUGGGUCAGCGACUUAUAUUCAGUGGCAAGGUUAACCGUAUAGGGGAGCCGUAGCGAAAGCGAGUCUUAACUGGGCGCUCAGUCUCUGGAUAUAGACCCGAAACCGGGUGAUCUAGCCAUGGGCAGGUUGAAGGUUGAGUAACAUCAACUGGAGGACCGAACCGACUAAUGUUGAAAAAUUAGCGGAUGACUUGUGGCUAGGGGUGAAAGGCCAAUCAAACUCGGAGAUAGCUGGUUCUCCCCGAAAGCUAUUUAGGUAGCGCCUCGGACGAAUACUACUGGGGGUAGAGCACUGUUAAGGCUAGGGGGUCAUCCCGACUUACCAACCCUUUGCAAACUCCGAAUACCAGUAAGUACUAUCCGGGAGACACACGGCGGGUGCUAACGUCCGUCGUGGAGAGGGAAACAACCCAGACCGCCAGCUAAGGUCCCAAAGUA
rnacentral:rRNA from 1 species